GAUGAACGCUAGCUACAGGCUUAACACAUGCAAGUCGAGGGGCAGCAUGAAUUUACUUCGGUAAAUUUGAUGGCGACCGGCGCACGGGUGCGUAACGCGUAUCCAACCUUCCCGUUACUCUGGGAUAGCCUUCCGAAAGGGAGAUUAAUACCGGAUGGUGUUCAAGUGGUGCAUAUUAUUUGAACUAAAGAUUUAUCGGUAACGGAUGGGGAUGCGUGACAUUAGAUAGUAGGCGGGGUAACGGCCCACCUAGUCUACGAUGUCUAGGGGUUCUGAGAGGAAGGUCCCCCACACUGGAACUGAGACACGGUCCAGACUCCUACGGGAGGCAGCAGUGAGGAAUAUUGGUCAAUGGACGCAAGUCUGAACCAGCCAUGCCGCGUGCAGGAUGACGGCUCUAUGAGUUGUAAACUGCUUUUGUACAAGGGUAAACCUCGGUACGUGUACCGAGCUGAAAGUACUGUACGAAUAAGGAUCGGCUAACUCCGUG
rnacentral:rRNA from 1 species